rnacentral:rRNA from 1 species
AUGAACGCUGGCGGCGUGCCUAAUACAUGCAAGUCGAGCGAACGGACGAGAAGCUUGCUUCUCUGAUGUUAGCGGCGGACGGGUGAGUAACACGUGGAUAACCUACCUAUAAGACUGGGAUAACUUCGGGAAACCGGAGCUAAUACCGGAUAAUAUUUUGAACCGCAUGGUUCAAAAGUGAAAGACGGUCUUGCUGUCACUUAUAGAUGGAUCCGCGCUGCAUUAGCUAGUUGGUAAGGUAACGGCUUACCAAGGCAACGAUGCAUAGCCGACCUGAGAGGGUGAUCGGCCACACUGGAACUGAGACACGGUCCAGACUCCUACGGGAGGCAGCAGUAGGGAAUCUUCCGCAAUGGGCGAAAGCCUGACGGAGCAACGCAGCGUGAGUGAUGAAGGUCUUCGGAUCGUAAAACUCUGUUAUUAGGGAAGAACAUAUGUGUAAGUAACUGUGCACAUCUUGACGGUACCUAAUCAGAAAGCCACGGCUAACUACGU